rnacentral:rRNA from 1 species
GACGAACGCUGGCGGCGUGCCUAACACAUGCAAGUCGAGCGAGUGGAGUUCUUCGGAACAAAGCUAGCGGCGGACGGGUGAGUAACCCGUGGGCAACCUGCCUCAUAGAGGGGAAUAGCCUCCCGAAAGGGAGAUUAAUACCGCAUAAGAUUGUAGCUUCGCAUGAAGUAGCAAUUAAAGGAGCAAUCCGCUAUGAGGUGGGCCCGCGGCGGAUUAGCUAGUUGGUGAGGUAACGGCUCACCAAGGCGACGAUGCGUAACCGACCUGAGAAGGUGAUCGGCCACAUUGGGACUGAGACACGGCCCAGACUCCUACGGGAGGCAGCAGUGGGGAAUAUUGCACAAUGGGGGAAACCCUGAUGCAGCAACGCCGCGUGAGUGAUGACGGCCUUCGGGUUGUAAAGCUCUGUCUUCAGGGACGAUAAUGACGGUACCUGAGGAGGAAGCCACGGCUAACUACGUGCCAGCAGCCGCCGUAA